rnacentral:misc_RNA from 1 species
UCCGUGUUCACCACGGCAGUCUCCUUAGAGAGCCCAACUGAAUGCUGGCAACUAAGGACAAGGGUUGCGCUCGUUGCGGGACUUAACCCAACAUGUCACCACGCGAGCUGACGACAGCCAUGCAGCACCUGUCACUCUGUCCUAUUGCUAGGAAGACUGUAUUUCUACAGCUGUCAGAGGAUGUCAAACCCAGGUAAGGUUCUUCGCGUUGCUUCGAAUUAAACCACAUGAUCCACCGCUUGUGCGGGCCCCCGUCAAUUCCUUUGAGUUUUAGUCUUGCGACCGUACUUCCCAGGCGGGGUACUUAGUGCGUUAGCUCCGGUUCAGCAGGGGUCAAGACCCGCCAAACCUAGUACCCAUCGUUUACAGCGUGGACUAC